GACGAACGCUGGCGGCGUGCUUCAUACAUGCAAGUCGAACGAUAAGGUCUCUUCGGAGAUACAUAAGUGGCGGACGGGUGAGUAAAAUGUAGAGAAUCUGCCCUAGAGAGUGGGACAACAGAUGGAAACAUCUGCUAAUACCGCAUAUGCGCGUAGCUGAGAUGCUAUUCGUGAAAACUCCGGUGCUCUGGGAUGAGUCUGCAUCUGAUUAGCUAGUUGGGGGUGUAAUGGACCACCAAGGCGACGAUCAGUAGCUGGUUUGAGAGGAUGAUCAGCCACAAUGGGACUGAGACACGGCCCAUACUCC
rnacentral:rRNA from 1 species